rnacentral:lncRNA from 1 species
CCACGAAUCUCUGGAUCGUUUUCCGAAUGAGUCAUGGCUUUUUUCGGUGGCUUGUAUAUGGAUGAUGGGGGCCCUAGGGGGGUUUGAGUGAAUGGGCCUUUGUUUGCGAGAAGUUUGGGUGCAGGGUUGGGUUUGUUCGGCGAUGCAGAAUGUAUGCGUUGAGCGUGGCGUUUUUCGGCGUCUGUCGGCGUGGCGGGGUUGGUUGGGGAGCUUGUUUCGCGGAUGUGAUGAGAUCGCGGGUUCGCGUCUCAUUAUUCUAUAUUUUUUUAUUUUUUUUUGAAUAUUUUGUUUUGGUCGUUUUGGGACGUGUGAUUGAUGCUUUUUUGUGCAUUGUUGUUGUUUUUAAGGUUUGUUCCGUUUUAUUCAAGCGAUUUGAAUGAUAUGAAAAC